AUUGAACGCUGGCGGAAUGCUUUACACAUGCAAGUCGAGCGGCAGCGCGGGGGCAACCCUGGCGGCGAGCGGCGAACGGGUGAGUAACAUAUCGGAACGUACCCAGUCGUGGGGGAUAACUAUCCGAAAGGAUAGCUAAUACCGCAUACGUCCUGAGGGAGAAAGCGGGGGAUCGCAAGACCUCGCGCGAUUGGAGCGGCCGAUAUCGGAUUAGCUAGUUGGUGGGGUAAAGGCUCACCAAGGCGACGAUCCGUAGCGGGUCUGAGAGGACGACCCGCCACACUGGAACUGAGACACGGUCCAGACUCCUACGGGAGGCAGCAGUGGGGAAUUUUGGACAAUGGGCGGCAAGACCUGAUCCAGCCACUGCCGCCGUGAGUGAAGAAGG
rnacentral:rRNA from 1 species